rnacentral:sRNA from 1 species
CCAACAGUCUUGCCAUGAGCCUCCCUCGCAGGCUCUUUCCUCUGCUCAUUCACUUCCUGCCCAUAUCUUCCUGCUCCGGGCUUCAGCACAGCCAGGCCAGCCUCCUACUGAAUGUCCUCUGCCCUCACAAGUCUGUCUCCUGGGUCUUUUCAGAUUUUCAGAAGAGCCGUUUGGAGCCCUUUAGAGUUAUGGUUUUGUGUAUGCGACAUGAAAUGGUAAUGCCAGCUGUCUCGGCACGUUGAAGGGAGGAGAACAAAAAUUGAGCAGGCUAUCUUGUCUCAUUUGCCUGGUCCGUCAUCACAAAGCCAACGAGUUGUUUAGUUACAAGCUCUCAGAAGGACCGUAAUAAGCGUGUUUGGUCCGUAGGCAGCAGGGUGCAGGCUGCCCGAGUCCCCCUCCUGUGUUAGAUGGAUGAUGCUGGUGGCGAGUGGACACACGCACCCUGCCUGAAUAUGAACAUCAGAUUUGUCAGCGUGUGACAGGCUGACAGCCCAGCUCCCAGCUGCUUGUCCACUGUGGUUAUAUCAGCACCUUGUCUGAGCCUUCAGCGAAGAGGCAGUCUGCUCCCUCCAUUCAUGGGAGGCAGGUUGCACUUAAAAAAAAAAAAGGAAGAAAAACCUAGUUCUGGCUUCAGGCUGCGUGUGCCACAACACAUUGAAAGGAGAUGAUUUAAACCUCUCUGUGCUCUUCCAGCCACACAUGGUCGGCCCUAGAAGUCCUGCCCUCCAGGUCUAAAAUCUGUUGAUUCAAAUGAGCAUGCCUUCUUGAAAGUCUAAAUCCACCAUAUUACCUCCCAAGAGACUAUGGUUGGGUACCCGCUGUAUGUGCAAAAGCUCCUUCUCCCAGAUGCAUAUGAACAUUGACCUCGGUCUGGCACGGGCUUUGUACUUCACACUCCAGGGUCUAUGAAAACACAGCGGAGGCCAGGGGAGCCACCAAGGGUCAGAACCAAGGCAGGCACGGUCGGGAUCCCCACACGAGCUGCAGAUGCCCAGUAACAAGUUUUCCUUGACUGCUGACGACUGAAUGCUGUUUUUCCUGUUCACAUUAUUUUCAAUUGGAUGCACUCUUUAGAGGUUUGUUUAUAUUUAUGCGUGUGCA